rnacentral:misc_RNA from 1 species
GAUGAAGAACGCAGCGAAAUGCGAUACGUAGUGUGAAUUGCAGAAUUCCGUGAACCAUCGAAUCUUUGAACGCACAUUGCGCCCCUUGGUAUCCCGAGGGGCAUGCCUGUUCGAGCGUCAUUUCACCACUCAAGCCUGGCUUGGUGUUGGGCGACGUCCUCUUUGGGGACGCGCCUCGAAACGCUCGGCGGCGUGGCACCGGCUUUAAGCGUAGCAGAAUCUUUCGCUUUGGAAGUCGGGGCCCCGUCUGCCGGAAGACCUGCUCGCAAGGUUGACCUCGGAUCAGGCAGGGAUACCCGCUGAACUUAAGCAUAUCAAUAAGCGGAGGA